rnacentral:rRNA from 2 species
CCCCAGUAACGGCGAGUGAACAGGGAAAAGCUCAAAGUUGGAACCUCCUGGCCUUAGGUUAGGCGGAUUGUAAACUAAAGCUCUCGAGUAGUUUGGUUAGCCCGGUAAAUAAGUUCUCUGGAAAGGGACGACAAAGAGGGUGAGAUCCCCGUUUUUGGCCGGAGCAUAAUCUUGCGUUUGCUUGGGAAUGAAGAGUCAGGUUGUUUGGUAUUGCAGCCUAAAGGUGGAGGUAAAUCUCUCCUAAAGCUAAAUAUUGACGAAAGACCGAUAGCGAACAAGUACCGUGAGGGAAAGAUGAAAAGCACCUUGAAAAGGGGGUCAAAAAGUACGUGAAAUUGCUGAAAGGGAACCGUAUGAAAUCAGCUUGGCCUUGUAGUCAUCAGCCUGAACUUUGGUUUGGGUGCACUGGCUACUAGGUACAGCCUAGGACAAUUUUGUUUGGAGGAAAAAAUCAGGGGAAAUGUGGCCUCGGCUU